UACGUAGGGAGCAAGCGUUGUCCGGAAUCAUUGGGCGUAAAGCGCGUGUAGGCGGCUUGAUAAGUCUGCUCUGAAAGCCCGGGGCUCAACCCUGGGAGGCGGGUGGAUACUGUCGACCUCGAGUCCGGAAGAGGCGAGUGGAAUUCCUGGUGUAGCGGUGAAAUGCGCAGAUAUCAGGAGGAACACCGGUGGCGAAGGCGGGUCUCUGGGCCGUAACUGACGCUGAGGAGCGAAAGCGUGGGGAGCGAACAGG
rnacentral:rRNA from 1 species